rnacentral:rRNA from 1 species
AACGAACGCUGGCGGCAGGCCUAACACAUGCAAGUCGAGCGGACCCUUCGGGGUUAGCGGCGGACGGGUGAGUAACGCGUGGGAAUAUGCCCUUCUCUACGGAAUAGUCUCGGGAAACUGGGGGUAAUACCGUAUACGCCCUUUGGGGGAAAGAUUUAUCGGAGAAGGAUUAGCCCGCGUUGGGUUAGGUAGUUGGUGGGGUAAUGGCCUACCAAGCCGACGAUCCAUAGCUGGUUUGAGAGGAUGAUCAGCCACACUGGG